UCUCUCUCAAUUAAUUUCAAUUUGCUUUAUUGGCAUGACGUAACGAUGUACAUAUUGCCAAAGCUUAUUUUGGAUAUUUACAAUUAAAAAUACAAAUGAGAAUCAAAAUUGUCAAUGGAACAACAGUAACAACAAUAACCAAGUGUCAAAAUAACCAACACAUUCAACAAUAACAAUGAGCACACAGUAGAGGACAUGUGAAGGUUGAUUGGUCUGUCAGACACUGUCCCUCAAUGUAGUGCCCUGCCAACCCACAGCUCUCUGCGUCCUCCCCCAACAGGACGGGUAGCCUGUCAUCAUCAGAGACGUCGGGUUUCAAAUUAGGGGAAAUGACACUCUCUAGUUGUUUUAUAUUUUUGACAUUUUGUCAGGAAAUGCAGCUCCGUCUCAGGUUCUGCUGUGGUGCAGUGGUUGCACAGCCUUUCCUCUACAGGGAGCCAGGUUUUCCUGUGUCUACCCUUCUCAAUGGCAAGGCUGUGCUCACUGAGCCUGUACUUUGUCAAGGUUUUUCUAAGGUUUUGAUCAGUAACCAUGGUCAAAUAUUUAGCCACAGUGUACUGUGGAUUUAGGGCCAGGUAGCACUGCAUUUUUGCUUUGUGCUUGUGUUUGUGUUUCCCAAUAAGAAACAUCGUUUUGUUUGACUGUGUUGUAAUUUGGUUUAUCCUGAUUGAUUGGAUGUUCUGGUCCUGAGGCUUCAGUGUGUUAGUAGAACAGGUCUGUGAACUCAGCCCCAGGACCAGCUGGAUGAGGGGACUGAGGCUUCAGUGUGUUAGUAGAACAGGUUAGUGAACUCAGCCCCAGGACCAGCUGGAUGAGGGGACUGAGGUUUCAGUGUGUUAGUAGAACAGGUUUGUGAUCUCAGCCCCAGGACCAGCUGGAUGAGGGGACUGAGGUUUCAGUGUGUUAGUAGAACAGGUCUGUGAACUCAGCCCCAGGACCAGCUGGAUGAGGGGACUGAGGCUUCAGUGAGUUAGUAGAACAGGUUUGUGAUCUCAGCCCCAAGACCAGCUGGAUGAGGGGACUGAGGCUUCAGUGUGUUAGUAGAACAGGUCUGUGAACUCAGCCCCAGGACCAGCUGGAUGAGGGGACUGAGGCUUCAGUGUGUUAGUAGAACAGGUUUGUGAACUCAGGACCAGCUGGAUGAGGGGACUGAGGCUUCAGUGUGUUAGUAGAACAGGUUUGUGAACUCAGGACCAGCUGGAUGAGGGGACUGAGGCUUCAGUGUGUUAGUAGAACAGGUUUGUGAACUCAGGACCAGCUGGAUGAGGGGACUCUUUUCUUUGCUCAGCUCUUGGCAUUGCAGGGCUUGGUAAUGAUAUGAGAGGGGGUCACUGUAUUUGAGAUGUUUCCAAAACUUAAUUGCUCUUUUUUGAGUUUUUAUUAUUAGUGGAUAUUGGCCAAAUUCUGCCCUGCAUGUAUUGUUUGUAGUUUUCAUCUGGACAUUUUUUUAUUUUUUUUAUUUUAUUUUUUACCUUUAUUUAACCAGGCAAGUCAGUUAAGAACACAUUCUUAUUUUCAAUGACGGCCUGGGAACAGUGGGUUAACUGCCUGUUCAGGGGCAGAACGACAGAUGUCGUUGUCAGCUCGGGGGUUUGAACUCGCAACCUUCCGGUUAUUAGUCCAACGCUCUAACCACUAGGCUAUCCUGCCACCCUGGACAUGUAGGAGAAUCUCACAGAACUCUGCAUGCAGGGUUUCAAUGGGGUGUUUGUCCCAUUUGAUGAAAUCUUGUUUUGCAAGUGGACCUCACACCUCGCUGCCAUAAAGUGGACCUCACACCUCGCUGCCAUAAAGUGGACCCCACACCUCGCUGCCAUAAAGUGGACCUCACACCUCGCUGCCAUAAAGUGGACCCCACACCUCGCUGCCAUAAAGUGGACCUGACACCUCGCUGCCAUAAAGUGCAAUUGGUUCAAUGACAUAUUCAAUUACUUUUAGCCAAAUUUGAAUAGGCAUUUCAAUUUGAAUGAGCUUUUUAAUGGCGUAGAAUGCCCUGCGUGCUUUCUCUCUCAGUUCAUUCACUGACUCAUUAAGGUGUCCAGUAGAGCUUAUUUUUAAACCUAAGUACUUGCAGUGUGUGCAGUACUCUAUAUAUUUUCUACCAAUUGAGAACUUUGGUCUAAUUCCCUGAGAUCUGGAUCUUCUCUGGAAAAUCAUGAUUUUUUUUGUAUUUUUGGGGUUUUACUGCCCUCUCUCUGUCUCUCUGUCUCUGUCUCUCUCUCUCUCUCUCUCUCUCUCUCUCUCUCUCUCUGUGUGUCUCUCUCUCUCUGUCUCUGUGUCUCUCUCUCUCUCUCUGUCUCUGUGUCUCUCUCUCUCUCUGUCUCUGUGUCUCUCUCUCUCUCUGUCUCUGUGUCUCUCUCUCUCUGUCUCUCUCUCUCUCUGUGUCUCUCUCUCUGUCUCUCUCUCUCUCUCUCUCUGUGUCUCUCUCUCUCUCUGUCUCUCUCUCUCUCUCUGUGUCUCUCUCUCUCUCUGUGUCUCUCUCUCUCUCUCUCUCUGUGUCUCUCUCUCUCUCUGUGUCUCUCUCUCUCUCUGUGUCUCUCUCUCUCUCUCUGUCUCUCUCUCUCUGUGUCUCUCUCUUUCUCUCUCUCUCUGUCUCUCUCUGUCUCUCUCUCUAUGUCUCUCUCUCUCUCUAUGUCUCUCU